rnacentral:ncRNA from 2 species
CCGAGCUUGUCGGAGCGCCGGGCGAAAUUCCCGGCUGAGACUGCGUAACGCAGAAUCCGCUGAACCUGAUCGGGCUAGGGGAGCGAUCUCCAACCCGCGUAGGAAACCAGGCACCGGUGCAA